rnacentral:rRNA from 1 species
UACGAAGGGGGCGAGCGUUGUUCGGAAUUACUGGGCGUAAAGGGCGCGUAGGCGGCCGAUCAAGUCAGAUGUGAAAGUCCUGGGCUUAACCUGGGGACUGCAUUUGAUACUGAUUGGCUUGAAUUCGGGAGAGGAUAGCGGGAUUCCCAGUGUAGAGGUGAAAUUCGUAGAUAUUGGGAAGAACACCGGUGGCGAAGGCGGCUAUCUGGACCGACAUUGACGCUGAUGCGCGAAAGCGUGGGGAGCAAACAGG